CAGGUGUGUUCCUGUCUGGACCCUUGUUAUUGUCUGGACAGUCAUGUCCUCAUCUGUCCCUGGUCACCUGACUCUGCUCACCUCUUCACCUGUUUCCACCUCUGUCAUUAGCUCAGCUUCCACUCAUCACACUGUGUUUCAGCCACCUGUUUUCCUCAUGCUCCCAGUGUUUGACUCAGACUCCUACUUCCCUGGACUCCACCUGCUAGUUUUGGAUUACCUCUGUGCUUUAAACCCAUUUGGACUCUGACUCUGACUCUAACUGUUCUCCCUGUCUGCUUGGACCCAAGAACCCAGGCAGCACGAGUCCAGAGAGGUCAGGAGAUUCAUCAGGAGGUCAAGUACAGGUGAGGAGCGAGGAGCUGCAGCAUAUGUCACUCAACACAUCAGGCAGAGUUUCUCUGCUGGCUCAGAAUCUCCACGGCUGCCAGAACCGAACCUCUGUCCAUUGUUAUUCCUGAAGUCGCACAAUGGGGCCCGAAGGUCACUGAACUGACUCGGCACAUACAGUAUAUGGCAACGUAAACUUUCAAUUACAAAAAACCCACAAAGACUGCAGCACUGUGGCUUUUAUUGUGAAGCAGCAGUGAUGAAAAUAAACUUUGAAAAACAUGAGUGGAGGUGAAAUAGGUAUCUGCCCUCGCACACACCGGUUGGCUGGAUGAGGAGAUAUAUCCAAGUCAUCAUCAUCUUCCUCAUUUCACAGAUCUGUGCCCUUUAUCGUGCCCAAGAACUGCUGUUGAAACAGAAAACACAAAUGGGAGGAGGAGGAGGAGUUCGAACCUCUGCAGAGGGAACAUUUUUAGAGCUCAGAGGAAAAGUGAAAAUACAUUUCAGGGGACGGAUAAAGAGAUGUAGCAGAUGAACAGCACGAAUCAGUCCUUUUUGAAAAUAGUUUUCUCUCCUCGCUCUGUGCCGAGCAGUCAUACAAAACCCUCAUCUGAGCA